rnacentral:lncRNA from 1 species
UUGGCGUUAAUAUUGAUUCACUUAUAAGGUCUUUGCAUCGGAACUAAACACAUUUUUUUCAAAAACAGUUGUUGGCAUGACACGGGUUAUGUUCUUCUCAUAUAUGUUAUGAUGGUAUGAUACUAAACCCCUAACGGGAAGGAUUGUGCCUGAUGUUCAUAUGAUGAAAUCAUAAUCUUUCAGUCAGUUUAAUUGAAGUCUGGAGCUGGCAUGUCAGUUAACUG